rnacentral:rRNA from 1 species
CUUGUACACACCGACCCGUCACACCAUGGGAGCGGGUUCUGCCAGAAGUAGUUAGCCUAACCGCAAGGAGGGCGAUUACCACGGCAGGGUUCGUGACUGGGGUG